rnacentral:tRNA from 1 species
GGCCGGCAGCUUAGUGGCCACAGUUUUGCAAAGACUGAUGAGAGUGUUGUGACUCCCGGCCU